CGCUAAUGAUUUCUAUUACCGAAGACAAUAUGGGCGUGUUUGGUUCGCUUCUUUUUCACCCUGGAGUCGGAAUCGGAAUCAGAAUGGGUGAAUUCAUUUGUGGGUGUUUGAUACGCGGGAGUCCUAUUCCGAUUCCCAUUCCCGAGUGGAAUGGGAAUCCCCCAAUCACCUUAUUUUUCAAUCCGGCCUAGGAGGUUCGAUUGGAAGUUGAAUCUGGACGGAAUGGAUAUUUAUUAUGAUUAAAUUUAUUUUUUCAACUUUUUUAAUUAAAAUAUGAGUUAAAAUUUAAAAAUUAAAUAUAUAAUUUUAAAUUUUAAUUUGAACUUAAAUUAAAAUUUAAAAUUUAAUAAGUAUUUCGAAUCUAACUUAUAAAUUUGAAUUAAAUUAAAUUUUAAUUUAUAUAAAGUUUUAUUCAAAUUUUAUUUCAAACUUAAAUUAAAUUUAUAGAUUCAAAUUAAAAUUUAAAUUGUAAUUUUAGUUUGAAUUUGAAUAAAUCAAAAUUUAGUUUCACAUUUUGAAUUAUCCACUCAACUUCAAAAUUUAAUUUUUUUUUUUAAAAAAAAUAGAUAUAAAAUUUUGACAUUAUUUCAAAAUUUUGAUGUAAAUUUUUAAUAUUUAAUAUUUAAUUUGAAUUUAAAUUAAUAUAUUAUAAAGAUAAUGUUAGUAUAUUAAUUUGAUUACGUUUUUUAUAUCUAUCUGAACCAAACACCGACAAUGGAAAUGAUUUAUUCCGAUUCCGAUUCAGGUGAUGAACCAAACAGAAUUAAGUAAUGAGUCAUUCCGAUUCCGAUUCCAGCUUAUUUUGAUUACGAUUCCGAUUCCGGCUCCAACUUCGAACCAACACCCUAUAUCUUAUUAGAGAUGUGAUUAUUAUUAUUUU
rnacentral:lncRNA from 1 species